AAGUCGUAACAAGGUUUCCGUAGGUGAACCUGCGGAAGGAUCAUUAAAGAGUAAGGGUGCUCAGCGCCCGACCUCCAACCCUUUGUUGUUAAAACUACCUUGUUGCUUUGGCGGGACCGUCUUCGGUUUCCAACCGGGCCGCCGGGCACCUUCACGGGUGUCAAGGCGAGUUCCCGCCAGAGUUAAACCAAACUCUUGUUAUUUAAACCGGUCGUCUGAGUAAAUUUUUUGAAUUAAAUCAAAA
rnacentral:misc_RNA from 1 species